AGCGAACAUUGGCGGUAGGCUUAACACAUGCAAGUCGAGCGAGGCGUAAUAGUCGAGCGGCGAACGGGUGCGUAAUACAUGGGAAUCUACCUCGAAGUGGGGGAUAACGUCCAGAAAUGGACGCUAAUACCGCAUAAUCCAUAUUGGGAAAGCGUUGCAGCGCUUUGAGAUGAGCCCAUGGCUGAUUAGCUUGUUGGUGAGGUAACGGCUCACCAAGGCGACGAUCAGUAGCUGGUCUGAGAGGAUGACCAGCCACACUGGUACUGAGGCACGGUCCAGACUCCUACGGGAGGCAGCAGUGGGGAAUCUUGCGCAAUGGGGGCAACCCUGACGCAGCCAUACCGCGUGAGUGAUGAAGGUCUUCGGAUUGUAAAGCUCUUUCGGCGGGGACGACGAUGACGGUACCCGCAAAAGAAGUCACGGCUAACUUCGUGCCAGCAGCCGCCGUAA
rnacentral:rRNA from 1 species